rnacentral:rRNA from 1 species
AAUUUUUUUAAUUAUAUAAAAAAAGUCUCCUGCCCGGUGAUAUUUUAACGGCCGCGGUAUCCUGACCGUGCGAAGGUAGCAUAAUAGUUUGCCUUUUAAUUGGAGGUUGGAAUGAAUGGAUUUACGAGAAUAUAACUGUCUCUUUGUUUUUUAUAUAAAUUAAUUUAUAGGUGAAGAAGCCUUUAUUUUUAUAAAAGACAAGAAGACCCUAUCGAGCUUUAUAUAAAUAAUAUAUUAAAUAGAUGAAUUUACUAGACUAUAUUAUAAAUAUUUGGUUGGGGCGACAAAGGAAAAUAAAAAUCUUCCUAUAAAAUUUUGAAAAUUAUUCUUUAAAUUGACCCUUUAGGGCUGAUAGAAAUAGUUACCGUAGGGAUAACAGGCUAAUUUUUAUUGAGAGUUCAUAUUGAUAUUAAAGAUUGGCACCUCGAUGUUGGCUUAAAAUAUCCUAUAAAGGCAAAAGUUUAUAAGGGUGGGUUUGUUCAACCAUUAAAAUUUU